rnacentral:rRNA from 1 species
AUUGAACGCUGGCGGCAGGCCUAACACAUGCAAGUCGAGCGAGCGGCGGACGGGUGAGUAAUGUCUGGGAAUCUGCCUGGUAGUGGGGGAUAACGUCCGGAAACGGUAGCUAAUACCGCAUACCAUCAGAUGUGCCCAGAGGGGAUUAGCUAGUAGGUGGGGUAACGGCUCACCUAGGCAACGAUCCCUAGCUGGUCUGAGAGGAUGACCAGCCACACUGGAACUGAGACACGGUCCAGACUCCUACGGGAGGCAGCAGUGGGGAAUAUUGGACAAUGGGCGCAAGCCUGAUGCAGCCAUGCAGCGGGUGUGAAGAAGGCCUUCGGGUGGUAAAGCACUUUCAGCGGGGAGGCGUUACCCGCAGAAGAAGCACCGGCUAACUCCGUGCCAGCAGCCGCGGUAAUUC